rnacentral:lncRNA from 1 species
ACGAAUAUCGAUUACUCACAAAUAAAACAAAUUUGCUGAGGCGGCUCGACUAAGACGUACGGGCAGCAUAAUUAAGUCCUCAUAACUCUCAAGUGCAGGCAUCAAAAAAUCAAAACUGAGAAUGACUGGUGAUAUAUAUAUAUAUAUAUAUAUAUAGACACCUCAAUCAAUUAAGAAAGAAGCAAAUUAUAAUCAUGGCUUCUAUAGCUGAUCAGGAAGAAGAGACAAAUAAUUUCUCACAUGCAAUGGGACUUGCAAGUGCAAUAGUGCUACCUGCAGUUAUGCAAGCAGUGGUAGAGCUUGAUGUGUUUGAGAUCAUAAGCAAAGCCGGUCCUGGUGCUAAGCUUUCGGUUGCGGAGAUUGUGGCUCAAAUUCCCUUAAAAGAUAAUAAUCCUGAAGCUGCAGCCACGACGUUGGAUCGGGUGCUGAGGCUGCUUGUCAGCUACAACGCUCUUCAUUGCUCUUUUGUCGAUGGACAAAGGCUCUACUCUCUUGCUCCUGUUUCUAAACACUUUGUUCGCAACAAUCGAGACGGCGUGUCGUUGCGUCCCUACAUGGCCUUGUGUCUCGACAAGAUCUGCUUGGAUGGCUGGUACAUAGAACUGCUUCUUUUCUUUACCGUUUCAGUAAAUCGAUCAUUUUCAUUCUCAUGAUUUAAAAUCGAUUAAACUCUGUUAAAAAGAUAUUUAAUUUUCAGUUAGUUUACCAUUAAUGUUAUAAAUGACACAAAAAGUAGAAAGUUAAUGAUUUCUUUUUUUUUUUAAUGACGGAGGAUUCUCAAAUAUGAAAACAAAAAUGAUUGAUUUUAACGAACAACAACGUUUUUUUUUUCGUUUCUCGACAAAAAUUAGUUUUUCGAAUUUCAAGGUUAAUUGUGUGGUCUAAUUUUUGAAUCACCAGCACCAAACCAAGCUUCUGAAAUAGUUACUAACUGUGUUUGGAUUUUGAUAAAUUCAGGUUUGGAUUGAAAAAGCAAAUUCUUGAAGGAGGAAUUGCGUUUAAUAAAGCGCACGGAAUGCAAAUCUAUGAUUACUUAGGCGUCGACUCAAGGUUCAAUGAUGUUUUCAACAAUGGAAUGUUAAGCCACACUUCUAUUGUCAUGGAGAAGGUCCUAGAAUCAUACAAAGGCUUUGAGCAUGUUAAAAAGCUUGUGGAUGUUGGCGGUGGCUUGGGGAUCACUCUUAAUAUGAUAAUUUCAAAAUAUCCUCAUAUUAAGGGUAUUAAUUAUGACUUACCUUAUGUCAUUAAAGAUGCCCCAUCUUAUUCAGGUACUUUAUUUAUAAAAUUUGUAUAGUAUUUUUGUUAAUGAUUCAUCGAUGUUACACUAGCUAACAAAAGUUAGUUUAUUUAAAUUUCAGGGAUAAAACAUAUAGGUGGAGAUUUGUUCAAAAGUAUUCCUGAGGCAGAUACUAUUUUUAUGAAGGUUUAUAUUUUUUUAUAUCACUUGAAAUCAUCAUAAGGAAAAAUUAAAUAGAGAGAAUGACACUUUUCUCCCUAUUGUUUUUGAGUUAAGAUGUAUCCUAACCCUGUUGCUCACUUGGUAUUAGAACUUUGAUAGAAAAAUUCAAAGGGAUAAUAGGAUAUUAUGAAAACUAUUAAAAGAAAAAAAAUGGUGAAACUCAAAACUAUAUAUACAAGGAAAGUGUCAACAACUCUCUUUUUUUCUUCAAUGGUAAAAUGGGUGGGCAAAGCCCAAAUUAACUAAUUAUUGAUCCCAUAUCUCCCUUGAGUUCAAACUUGGGUGACAGUUAAAUAAAAUUGAUUGAAAACAAUUCGAUCAGGCACCUCGGGUGGAAAAUAUCAAUCUCUCUUCUUUAUGAAUGCUUUGUUCAAUCACAUAAAUUGAUCAUAGAUAUCCGGAUAGAACAAAUGAGAAUUAAUAUGAAUACAUGGAACUUUUGCAGUGGAUGCUUCAUAGUUUUGAUGAUGAACAAGCCUUGAAAGUGUUGAAGAAUUGUUAUAAAGCUCUUCCAUAUGGUGGGAAGCUGCUUAAUAUUAAUUCGACAAUUUCGGAAAUGCCUGGGAAUAAUGUAGCUUCAAGGGAAAUCUCUAUUUUGGAUACGGUUUUGUUAGUCCAACUUCCUCAUGGAAGAGAGCGGACCAAACAAGAGUACACUGAAUUGGCAGUCAAAGCUGGAUUUAAAGGUGUCAACUAUGAUUAUGGUGCGUGCAAUUUAUAUGUUAUGGAAUUCUUCAAAUAAAUUGCAUACUUAAUUUCAUUUUGGAAAGAUCUUCUCAACCCUUGGGGAGUUUCCAAUUUCCUAUUUGUGUUAAUUAUUUUCUCUUUUGCUUGGCCUUGGGGCUUGUCUUAUGUACUUUCUUUCAUCUUAUGAAAAUAAUACGUCUCUUAGAAAGAGAUUGAUGGCUGUAUUUGGUACUUCUUAUGUAAUCUUUUUCAGUUCAUACAUUCAGCAUGUGAUUUUUGGUUUAUUAUUGAGGCAAAAAAGAAGUAUUUUUAUCUUGCCUUACUAUUAUUAUUAUUUUUUUGUUCAUUUCAAAGUUGAAAAAAUCAGUAAUGUAUAACUUUUUUAUCAUUUAAAGUAAGAACAUUUGACUUUUGAAAGAGUAGUUAUAGAGAACUCAUUCUAUGCCAUCUCAACCUCACACAAGAGUAAUUAAAACUAGAGCUAAUGUUAAAGUAGUUCUAAAUUUUGAAUUCAUUACAAACUUAUCCUAAAAAUUUGCCUUAGUGGAGUUUAUGUGUGGUACUGGUGUUUAUUUCAUUUUUAUUUCUAAAAACAUAGUAAAUUAAGUGCACCACUAAGUGAACCAGAUGAAGACUGAAAAUUAUUGAAAAAUGGAUUGUGGAGAUUUGGUUUUUCAUCAAACAACUACUAAGAGCUAAUAUUGCUCGAUGGAAAAAGAAAAAAAAUCUGAAUAUUAUGAUUAUCUUUGAAAGGUACAUAGUGAAUAGAGAAAAAAAAAAGAAAAAAAUUUGAGUUCCUUUAUUGGACGAGUAUUUUGAUUAGGAGAAAUUUUAUAAUGUUGUAAUUAAAAUGAUGGUAUCAAUGCCGUGAUAAAUAUGAAUUUUGUAAAUUACGCAUAAGACUGGUAAAUGAAAAGUAAAAUAAGUAAAUUAAUAUAAGAGUGGUAAAUUGGCGUCUUAAAACUACAAACUAAACAAAUAUUUAUAAAAAUAACAUAAAACUUGUAAAUCAACAUUAAACUUUAAUUAAAAAAAUAAUUUAUUCAUUUAAUUUACAUAAAUGAUGAAAAAAUCACUCAUCAAUUGAAAAAAUAUAUAUUUAAAACAAUUGCAAUAAGUUUUAUUGUAUUGGUUUAACUAUAUAUUCUAUAUUCAUUCUUCGACAUAAAAAAAAAUGAAUCUUUUAAAAAAAAAUGAAUCUUUUUCUAUCUAUAGUAUUUGAUACUACACAUGUUAAUUAAGCAAAAAUUUUUUUUUUUUUACGUGAAUCAAGCAAAAAAAAAAAAGAUUUUCUUAUAUUACUAGAUGUACAUGAUAUAUCAAUAAAAUUGGAUCUAAUUUUUAGUGCUAUAUAUACUUCAUGUAAUUUUAAACUAUGUUUCUUAUUGUACUUAAAGAUUAUUUGGGUUUACGGUCAAGGAGGCUUAAAAGGAUAUAACAUCACCUUAUUUUACAAGCAGUGAGGUUUGAAAGUCUAACUUUCAGGAUAUGUUUAUCAUUCUUAUAUUACUAGAUGUACAUGACAUAUCAAUAAAAUUGGAUCUAAUUUUUAGUGUUAUACAUAUUUCAUGUAAUUUUAAACUAUGUUUCUUAUUGUACUUAAAGAUCAUUUGGGUUUACGGUCAAGGAAGCUUAAAAGCAUACAACAUCACCUUAUGUUACAAGCAGUGAGGUUUGAAAGUCUAACUUUCAGGAUAGAUUUAUCAUUAAUAAAAUUUCACAUAUGUCAUCACAUAUAUUAUACAACCUCAUAAUGUGACAAUUAGCUUAUAUAUUUACUAAUUUUGAUUCUAAAUUGAGUUUAGAAUCAAAAUUAUGAGCUAAUAGUCACAUUAUGAGUUUUUAUUUUAUAUUUGUAAGUUUUUAUUUUUUUAAUAACUCUUAUAUUAAGGUACUUGUUUUACCUUCUAUUUACAAGUAUUACAUUCUAUUUAUAUCAUUUAUAUUUUAUUUUAUGAUUAAUGUGGAUUUACCACUUCUAUGUUACAUGUAUAAGUUUUAUUUUAUUUAUCAAUAAUAUAAUGAUUUAUCACUUUUAGGUUAAUUUAUUUGUUUUACCUUCUAUUUACAAGUUUUAUGUCCCAUUUACUUUUUUAUGUUUUAUUUACACUUUAAUGUUAAUUUACAAGUUUUAUACUAUAUGAAUAAGUUUUUGUUUUAUUUACUAAUGAUACACCAAUUAACUACUCCUAUAUUAGUUUACUUAUUUUACCUUCUAUUUACAAAUCUUGUAUUCUAUUUAACACAAAUGUUGGCAUGAGAUUCCUGACAUAUUUCUAAAAUCAAAAUAAGAUGCAUAGAGGACAAUAAUUUUAUUUCAUAAUUAAAAUUUUUGUAAAGAAAGUUUGAAUAUGAGAGGGGUGAGAGAUGAGAAUAUUGACGAUGGUGUGUACUUUGGAUGGAAAAAUAGAUUGAAAAUAUAUAUAGACAUAUUAAAAGAAAAAAAUAUGAUCUAUACCUCAAGAGAAAUAAGAAAUUAUAAAUGCAGGUGGUCAAAUGUAUUUAUAAUUUAUAAUUUUUUAUAAAUAUGAUAAUCAUUAGACCAAUAUAAAAGUCUAGCAAAAAGUUUAAAUUUUUUUAAUAAAUGUAGAAGAGAUGGACGAAGAAACCAGCCAACAGUUCAGAAUUAACAAUUAAAGAUAUGAGGACUUGAUCGAAGAAAUGUGAAAAAUAAAAGGACACUGGGUUGGUUAGCGGGACCCUAAUUUAAUGGUAAAAAAUAAAAGGACACUGGGUUGCUAUCAAUUUCUACGGUGUGGUACGUUCAUAGCCGGGGAAGUAAUUGUAUUAGCGGGACCCUAACAUUAAUAAAAGGACACUGGGUUGUUUAGCGGGACCCUAAUAUUAAUGGUAAAAAAUAAAAGGAAACUGAGUUGGUAUCAAUUUCUACGGUGUAGGUUCAUAGCCGGGGAAGUAAUUAUAUUAGCGGGACCCUAAUAUUAAUGGAGACCUAAUAUUAAUGAUAAAAAAUAAAAGGACACUGGGUUACAAUCAAUUUCUACAGAGUGGGUUCAUAGCCGGAGAAGUAAUUGGGCACAAAUAUCAUGGUGAACACGGAUGAGAAAUAACCAUUUUAUCCCCGCAACUUUAUGUUUAUGGCCUCUAAAAAUUUUCACCUCUUUCACUUCUGGAACCCGCGCUUUCUGGCACAUGCACAAUACUUGGUUGCGACUUAUAGAGAGUUUUAGAAUUGCAACGACAUGGUGCUCUUUGAUAAUUCAAAAAUCCAAUAGAAUUUAUAGAGAAUUACAGAAUUGUGGUACGUGAUAAUUUGCUGAUGCAGUGAGGGGCCGAAAUUCUUGUACAUGUGAUUAAGUUAUAGAUGUAUAAUUAAGUAAUUAGCAAGCACUAAUUGGGGGUAUUUGUGUCCAUGAAAAUUUACAGUUGGUUGUUGACAUUAUACUGUGGGUGCGUAAGUGCAAUCACGAUCUGACCAUUCAAAUUAAAAAAUGGGGGUCCCACUAAUUAUAAAGUUUGUAAUUAUCACAUAUACAGAUAUGGUCGCAUAUGAAAAUCUUAUCAUAAAUUGAAUGGAUUCGAUGACUUAAUUGAAGUUAUGAACGGAUAUUUAAAUAAAAGAAAAUUUAUAAUAAAGAAAAGUAUUAAUUUGUUGUGAAUGUAACUUAUAUAAGCUGUAAGUUAGCGGGACUCUUCAAAUAAUUCUAAUAUUUUGAUUUUUAAUUCUUAUAUUUAAAAAAAUAUCUUUUGUAGUUAAAUAUAUUUUUUUUUUAUCCUUACUUUUACUUUACUUUUAUAAUAAUAGCCUUCUAAUUUUUUUUAACAUUAAUUAAGUUAUUUAUAAAAUUUUAAUUAUAAAAUUUACUAAUAAUUAUUUAUUAAUAAAUUAACUAAUAAAUAUCAGUAUGAAAGAACUAAUAUUUUUUUAACCCAUGCAAUAAUCUUGCAAAUAAUUUUUUUAUAAAUAAAAAUUAAUAUCAACUAACUUAAAGUGGUGUUUAAUAUCCUUACAAUAAUUAUAUUAAUAUUAAUUUAUAAAAAAUUAAUUUACUAAAUUAAUCUUAAAACUAAAUUAAUAACAUAAAAAUUUAUAAAACUAAUUAUUUUACUUUUCAUCGGCUGCAAUUUGUUGAAACUUGGGUGAAGACAAAUUGAGAUCUUAGAAAUCUCCAAUGAGAUAAUAAAAUAUAAUAUAUAUGUUAGGUCUUUGUUUUUUUUUUUUUUUUUUGGUUUAAACCACCCGAUUUCCGACGACCGCAUUGGGCCCCGACUAAUUCGGAUUCGGGGUGUAGUCACAGUUAAGGCUCUUUACCCCUCCCAAAUGGUGUGUUUAGUAGGGAUCAAACCCGAGAGCUCUUUCCACUUACCCAACCUGCGUCGCCAACUGAACCACAACCGUUUGAUUAGGUCUUUGUUCUUUAGAGAAUAGAUCCUAUUGAAAUUUGAACACGAAUAUCGAUUACUCACAAAUAAAAUAAAUUUGCUGAGGCGGCUCGACUAAGACGUACGGGCAGCAUAAUUAAGUCCUCAUAACUCUCAAGUGCAGGCAUCAAAAAAUCAAAACUGAGAAUGACUGGUGAUAUAUAUAUAUAUAUAUAUAGACACCUCAAGCAAUUAAGAAAGAAGCAAAUUAUAAUCAUGGCUUCUAUAGCUGAUCAGGAAGAAGAGACAAAUAAUUUCUCACAUGCAAUGGGACUUGCAAGUGCAAUAGUGCUACCUGCAGUUAUGCAAGCAGUGGUAGAGCUUGAUGUGUUUGAGAUCAUAAGCAAAGCCGGUCCUGGUGCUAAGCUUUCGGUUGCGGAGAUUGUGGCUCAAAUUCCCUUAAAAGAUAAUAAUCCUGAAGCUGCAGCCACGACGUUGGAUCGGGUGCUGAGGCUGCUUGUCAGCUACAACGCUCUUCAUUGCUCUUUUGUCGAUGGACAAAGGCUCUACUCUCUUGCUCCUGUUUCUAAACACUUUGUUCGCAACAAUCGAGACGGCGUGUCGUUGCGUCCCUACAUGGCCUUGUGUCUCGACAAGAUCUGCUUGGAUGGCUGGUACAUAGAACUGCUUCUUUUCUUUACCGUUUCAGUAAAUCGAUCAUUUUCAUUCUCAUGAUUUAAAAUCGAUUAAACUCUGUUAAAAAGAUAUUUAAUUUUCAGUUAAUUUACCUUUAAUGUUAUAAAUGACACAAAAAGUUGAAAGUUAAUAAUUUCUUUUUUUUUUAAUGACGGAGGAUUCUCAAAUAUGAAAACAAAAAUGAUUGAUUUUAACGAACAACAACGUUUUUUUUUUUUUUUUUUAUCGUUUCUCGACAAAAAUUAGUUUUUCGAAUUUCAAGGUUAAUUGUGUGGUCUAAUUUUUGAAUCACCAGCACCAAACCAAGCUUCUGAAAUAGUUACCAACUGUGUUUGGAUUUUGAAAAAUUCAGGUUUGGAUUGAAAAAGCAAAUUCUUGAAGGAGGAAUUGCGUUUAAUAAAGCGCACGGAAUGCAAAUCUAUGAUUACUUAGGCGUCGACUCAAGGUUCAAUGAUGUUUUCAACAAUGGAAUGUUAAGUCACACUUCUAUUGUCAUGGAGAAGGUCCUAGAAUCAUACAAAGGCUUUGAGCAUGUUAAAAAGCUUGUGGAUGUUGGCGGUGGCUUGGGGAUCACUCUUAAUAUGAUAAUUUCGAAAUACCCUCAUAUUAAGGGUAUUAAUUAUGACUUACCUUAUGUUAUUAAAGAUGCCCCAUCUUAUUCAGGUACUUUAUUUAUAAAAUCUGUAUAACAUAUUUGUUAAUGAUUCAUCGAUGCUACACUAGCUAACAAAAGUUAGUUUAUUUAAAUUUCAGGGAUAGAACAUAUCGGUGGAGAUUUGUUCGAAAGUAUUCCUGAGGCAGAUACUAUUUUUAUGAAGGUUUAUAUUUUCUUAUAUCACUUGAAAUCAUCAUAAGGAAAAAUUAAAUAGAGAGAAUGACAUUUUUCUCCCUAUUGUUUUUGAGUUAACACGUACCCUAACCAUGUUACUCACUUGGUAUUAGAACUUUGAUAGAAAAAUUCAAAGGGAUAAUAAGAUAUUAUGAAAACUAUUAAAAGAAAAAAAAAGGUAAAACUCAAAACUAUAUAUACAAGGAAAGUGUCAACAACUCUCUUUUUUUCUUCAAUGGUAAAAUGGGUGGGCAUAGCCCAAAUUAACUAAUUAUUGAUCCCAUAUCUCCCUUGAGUUCAAACUUGGGUGACAAUUAAAUAAAAUUGAUUGAAAACAAUUCGAUCAGGCACCUCGGGUGGAAAGUAUCAAUCUCUCUUCUUUAUGAAUGCUUUGUUCAAUCACAUAAAUUGAUCAUAGAUAUCCGGAAAAGAACAAAUGAGAAUUAAUAUGAAUACAUGGAACUUUUGCAGUGGAUGCUUCAUAGUUUUGAUGAUGAACAAGCCUUGAAAGUGUUGAAGAAUUGUUAUAAAGCUCUUCCAGAUGGUGGGAAGCUGCUUAAUAUUAAUUCGACAAUUUCGGAAAUGCCUGGGAAUAAUGUAGCUUCAAGGGAAAUCUCUAUUUUGGAUACGGUUUUGUUAGUCCAACUUCCUCAUGGAAGAGAGCGGACCAAACACGAGUACACUGAAUUGGCAGUCAAAGCUGGAUUUAAAGGUGUCAACUAUGAUUAUGGUGCGUGCAAUUUAUAUGUUAUGGAAUUCUUCAAAUAAAUUGCAUACUUAAUUUCAUUUUGGAAAGAUCUUCUCAACCCUUGGGGAGUUUCCAAUUUCCUAUUUGUGUUAAUUAUUUUCUCUUUUGCUUGGCCUUGGGGCUUGUCUUAUGUACUUUCUUUCAUCUUAUGAAAAUAAUACGUCUCUUAGAAAGAGAUUGAUGGCUGUAUGUGGUACUCCUUAUGUAAUCUUUUUCAGUUCAUACGUUCAGCAUGUGAUUUUUGGUUUAUUAUUGAGGCAAAAAAGAAGUAUUUUUAUCUUACCUUACUAUUAUUAUUAUUAUUUUUUGUUCAUUUCAAAGUUGAAAAAAUCAGUAAUGUAUAACUUUUUUAUCAUUUAAAGUAAGAACAUUUGACUUUUGAAAGAGUAGUUAUAGAGAACUCAUUAUAUGCCAUCUCAACCUCACACAAGAGUAAUUAAAACUAGAGCUAAUGUUAAAGUAGUUCUAAAUUUUGAAUUCAUUACAAACUUAUCCUAAAAAUUUGCCUUAGUGGAGUUUAUGUGUGGUACUGGUGUUUAUUUCAUUUUUAUUUCUAAAAAUAUAGUAAAUUAAGUGCACCACUAAGUGAACCAGAUGAAGACUGAAAAUUAUUAAAAAUGGAUUGUGGAGAUUUGGUUUUUCAUCAAACAACUACUAAGAGCUAAUAUUGCUCGAUGGAAAAAGAAAAAAGAAAACAAAUCUGAAUAUUAUGAUUAUCUUUGAAAGGUGCAUAGUGAAUAGAGAAAAAAAAAAAGAAAAAAUUUUGAGUUCCUUUAUUGGACGAGUAUUUUGAUUAGGAGAAAUUUUAUAAUGUUGUAAUUAAAAUGAUGGUAUUAAUGCCGUGAUAAAUAUGAAUUUUGUAAAUUACGCAUAAGACUAGUAAAUGAAAAGUAAAAUAAGUAAAUUAAUAUAAGAAUGGUAAAUUGGCGUCUUAAAACUACAAACUAAACAAAUGCUUAUAAAAAUAACAUAAAACUUGUAAAUCAACAUUAAACUUUAAUUAAAAAAAUAAUUUAUUCAUUUAAUUUACAUAAAUGAUGAAAAAAUCACUCAUCAAUUGAAAAAAAAAAACUAUUUAAAACAAUUGUAAUAAGUUUUUAUUGUAUUGGUUUAACUAUAUGUUCUAUAUUCAUUCUUGCACAUUAAAAAAACGAAUCUUUAAAAAAAAAUGAAUCUUUUUCUAUCUAUAGUAUUUGAUACUACACAUGUUAAUUAAGCAAAAAUUAUUUUUUUUUGACGUGAAUCAAGCAAAAAAAAAAAAAGAUUUUCUUAUAUGACUAGAUGUACAUGAUAUAUCAAUAAAAUUGGAUCUAAUUUUUAGUGUUAUAUAUACUUCAUGUAAUUUUAAACUAUGUUUCUUAUUGUACUUAAAGAUCAUUUGGGUUUACGGUCAAGGAGGCUUAAAAGGAUACAACAUCACCUUAUUUUACAAACAGUGAGGUUUGAAAGUCUAACUUUCAGGAUAUGUUUAUCAUUCUUAUAUUACUAGAUGUACAUGACAUAUCAAUAAAAUUGGAUCUAAUUUUUAGUGUUAUAUAUAUUUCAUGUAAUUUUAAACUAUGUUUCUUAUUGUACUUAAAGAUCAUUUGGGUUUACGGUCAAGGAGGCUUAAAAGCAUACAACAUCACCUUAUUUUACAAGCAGUGAGGUUUGAAUGUCUAACUUUCAGGAUAGGUUUAUCAUUAAUAAAAUUUCACAUAUGUCAUCACAUAUAUUAUACAACCUCAUAAUGUGACAAUUAGCUUAUAUAUUUACUAAUUUUGAUUCUAAAUUGAGUUUAGAAUCAAAAUUAUGAGCUAAUAGUCACAUUAUGAGUUUUUAUUUUAUAUUUGUAAGUUUUUAUUUUUACAUUAAGGUACUUGUUUUACCUUCUAUUUACAAGUAUUACAUUCUAUUUACAUCAUUUAUAUUUUAUUUUAUGAUUAAUGUUGAUUUACCACUUCUAUGUUACAUGUAUAAGUUUUUAUUUUGUUUAUCAAUAAUAUAAUGAUUUAUGACUUUUAUGUUAAUUUAUUUGUUUUACCUUCUAUUUACAAGUUUUAUGUCCCAUUUACUUUUAUUUACACUUUAAUGUUAAUUUACAAAUUUUAUAUUAUAUGUAUAAGUUUUUGUUUUAUUUACUAAUGAUACACCAAUUAACUACUCCUAUAUUAAUUUACUUAUUUUACCUUCUAUUUACAAAUCUUGUAUUCUAUUUAACACAAAUGUUGGCAUGAGAUUCCUGACAUAUUUCUAAAAUCAAAAUAAGAUGCAUAGAGGAUGAUCAUUUUAUUUCAUAAUUAAAAUUUUUGUAAAGAAAGUUUGAAUAUGAGAGGGGUGAGAGAUGAGAAUAUUGACGAUAGUGCGUACUUUGGAUGGAAAAAUAGAUUGAAAAUAUAUAUAGACAUAUUAAAAGAAAAAAAUCUGAUCUAUACCUCAAGAGAAAUAAGAAAUUAUAAAUGCAGGUGGUCAAAUGUAUUUAUAAUUUAUAAUUUUUUAUAAAUAUGAUAAUCAUUAGACCCAUAUAAAAGUAUAGCAAAAUGUUUAAAUUUUUUUUAAUAAAUGUAGAAGAGAUGGACGAAGAAAACAGCCACCAGUUCAGAAUUAACAAUCAAAGAUAUGAGGACUUGAUCGAAGAAAUGUGAAAAAUAAAAGGACACUGGGUUGGUUAGCGGGACCCUAAUUUAAUGGUAAAAAAUAAAAGGACACUGGGUUGCUAUCAAUUUCUACGGUGUGGUAGGUUCAUAGCAGGGGAAGUAAUUAUAUUAGCGGGACCCUAACAUUAAUAAAAGGACACUGGGUUGUUUAGCGGGACCCUAAUAUUAAUGGUAAAAAAUAAAAGGAAACUGAGUUGGUAUCAAUUUCUACGGUGUAGGUUCAUAGCCGGGGAAGUAAUUAUAUUAGCGGGACCCUAAUAUUAAUGGAGACCUAAUAUUAAUGAUAAAAAAUAAAAGGACACUGGGUUACAAUCAAUUUCUACAGAGUGGGUUCAUAGCCGGAGAAGUAAUUGGGCACAAAUAUCAUGGUGAACACGGAUGAGAAAUAACCAUUUUAUCCCCGCAACUUUAUGUUUAUGGCCUCUAAAAAUUUUCACCUCUUUCACUUCUGGACCCGCGCUUUCUGGCACAUGCACGAUACUUGGUUGCGACUUAUAGAGAGUUUUAGAAUUGCAACGACAUGGUGCUCUUUGAUAAUUCAAAAAUCCAAUAGAAUUUAUAGAGAAUUACAGAAUUGUGGUACGUGAUAAUUUGCUGAUGCAGUGAGGGGCCGAAAUUCUUGUACAUGUGAUUAAGUUAGAGAUGUAUAAUUAAGUAAUUAGCAAGCACUAAUGGGGGGUAUUUGUGUCCAUGAAAAUUUACGGUUGGUUGUUGACAUUAUACUGUGGGUGCGUAAGUGUAAUCACGAUCUGACCAUUCAAAUUAAAAAAUGGGGGUCCCACUAACUAUAAAGUUAAUAAUUAUCACAUAAACAGGGGGAAUUUUAGGUGCAACUGUGACACCGUGCCACAGUUGCACCUAGUCAUUGGAUGUCAGUAGACUCUAUUACUCCAACUGCAUCCAACGGUUAGAUGCAAUUGUGGCACGGUGCCACAGUUACACCGUAGCCUGAUCCCAUAUACAGAUAUGGUCGCAUAUGAAAAUCUUAUCAUAAAUUGAAAGGAUUCGAUGACUUAAUUGAAGUUAUGAACGGAUAUUUAAAUAAAAGAAAAUUUAUAAUAAAGAACAAGUAUUAAUUUGUUAUGAAUGUAACUUAUAUAAGCUGUAAGUUAGCGGGACUCUUCAAGUAAUUCUAAUAUUUUGAUUUUUAAUUUUUAUAUUUUAAAAAAUAUCUUCUGUAGUUAAAUAUAUUUUAUUUUUAUCCUUACUUUUACUUUACUUUUACAAUAAUAGCCUUCUAAAAAUUUUUUAACAUUAAUUAAGUUAUUUAUAAAAUUUUAAUUAUAAAAUUAACUAAUAAUUAUUUAUUAAUAAAUUAACUAAUAAAUAUCAGUACGAAAGAACUAAUAUUUUUUUAACCCAUGCAAUAAUCUUGCAAAUAAUUUUUUUAUAAAUAAAAAUUAAUAUCAACUAACUUAAAGUGGUUUUUAAUAUCCUUACAAUAAUUAUAUUAAUAUUUAUUUAUAAAAAAUUAAUUUGCCAAAUUAAUCUUAAAACUAAAUUAAUAACAUAAAAAUUUAUAAAACUAAUUAUUUUACUUUUCAUCGGCUGCAAUUUGUUGAAACUUGGGUGAAGACAAAUUGAGAUCUUAGAAAUCUCCAAUGAGAUAAUAAAAUAUAAUACAUAUGUUAGGUCUUUGUUCUUUAGGGAAUAGAUCCUAUUGAAAUUUGAACACGAAUAUCGAUUACUCACAAAUAAAACAAAUUUGCUGAGGCGGCUCGACUAAGACGUACGGGCAGCAUAAUUAAGUCCUCAUAACUCUCAAGUGCAGGCAUCAAAAAAUCAAAACUGAGAAUGACUGGUGAUAUAUAUAUAUAUAUAUAUAUAUAUAUAGACACCUCAAGCAAUUAAGAAAGAAGCAAAUUAUAAUCAUGGCUUCUAUAGCUGAUCAGGAAGAAGAGACAAAUAAUUUCUCACAUGCAAUGGGACUUGCAAGUGCAAUAGUGCUACCUGCAGUUAUGCAAGCAGUGGUAGAGCUUGAUGUGUUUGAGAUCAUAAGCAAAGCCGGUCCUGGUGCUAAGCUUUCGGUUGCGGAGAUUGUGGCUCAAAUUCCCUUAAAAGAUAAUAAUCCUGAAGCUGCAGCCACGACGUUGGAUCGGGUGCUGAGGCUGCUUGUCAGCUACAACGCUCUUCAUUGCUCUUUUGUCGAUGGACAAAGGCUCUACUCUCUUGCUCCUGUUUCUAAACACUUUGUUCGCAACAAUCGAGACGGCGUGUCGUUGCGUCCCUACAUGGCCUUGUGUCUCGACAAGAUCUGCUUGGAUGGCUGGUACAUAGAACUGCUUCUUUUCUUUACCGUUUCAGUAAAUCGAUCAUUUUCAUUCUCAUGAUUUAAAAUCGAUUAAACUCUGUUAAAAAGAUAUUUAAUUUUCAUUUAAUUUACCAUUAAUGUUAUAAAUGACACAAAAAGUUGAAAGUUAAUAAUUUCUUUUUUUUUAAUGACGGAGGAUUCUCAAAUAUGAAAACAAAAAUGAUUGAUUUUAACGAACAACAACGUUUUUUUUUUUUUUUUUUUAUCGUUUCUCGACAAAAAUUAGUUUUUCGAAUUUCAAGGUUAAUUGUGUGGUCUAAUUCUUGAAUCACCAGCACCAAACCAAGCUUCUGAAAUAGUUGCUAACUGUGUUUGGAUUUUGGAAAAUUCAGGUUUGGAUUGAAAAAGCAGAUUCUUGAAGGAGGAAUUGCGUUUAAUAAAGCGCACGGAAUGCAAAUCUAUGAUUACCUAGGCGUCGACUCAAGGUUCAAUGAUGUUUUCAAUAAUGGAAUGUUAAGCCACACUUCUAUUGUCAUGGAGAAGGUCCUAGAAUCAUACAAAGGCUUUGAGCAUGUUAAGAAGCUUGUUGAUGUUGGCGGCGGCUUAGGAACUACCCUGAACAUGAUAAUUUCCAAAUACCCUCAUAUUAAGGGUAUUAAUUAUGAUCUGCCUUAUGUCAUUAAAGAUGCCCCAUCUUAUCCUGGUAUGUUAUUUACAAAAUUUAUAUAGUAUGUUGGGUAAUGAUUUAUUGAUGCUACCCUAACUAAAAGAUGUGAAUUUAUUUAAAUUUCAGGCAUCGAACACGUGGGUGGAGAUUUAUUCGAAAAUGUUCCUGAGGCGGAUACCAUUUUCAUGAAGGUUUUUUCUCUCUAUCUAUAUAUAUAACUUUGAAAUGAUAAUUAUCAAGAGAAUGACAAUUUUCUCCUUACUGCUUUUGAGUUUUACAAUUUACUCAUUUGACGUCAAUUUUUUCAUUGAAAAACUCAAAAGGAUAACAAGAUAUUAUGAAAAUCGAAAAAAAAACAAUAAAACUCAAAAAUAGUAUACCGGAAAAAGUGUAAAUCUAUCUUGUCUAUGAAUUGAUAAUUGAUAUUCAAUUACAACUAAUUAAUGAGAAUUGAUAUGUAUAUGAAUUUUUUUUUGCAGUGGAUGCUUCACAAUUUUGAUGAUGAGCAAACUUUGAAAUUGUUGAAGAAUUGUUACAAAGCUCUUCCAGAUGGUGGGAAGCUGCUCAAUAUUAAUUCAACAAUUUCAGAAGUGCCUCAAAAUAGUGCGGCUUCAAGGGAAAUCUCUAUUUUGGAUACAAUUUUGUUGAUCCAAAUUCCUCAUGGAAGAGAGCGCACCAAACAAGAAUACAAUGAAUUGGCAAUUAAAGCUGGAUUUAAAGGUGUCAGCUACGAAUGUGGUGUAUGUAAUUUAUAUGUUAUGGAGUUCUUGAAAUAGAUUGCUUUUUUCUCUAUUCGGAAAGAUCUCCUUAGCUUUCUUGGGUUGUUUUCAAUUUCCGGUUUGUCUUGUUAUCUCUUUCCUUUGGAUUGAGGGCUUCUCUUAUGUAAUCUCUUUCGUUUUAUCAAUAAUAAAUCUCUUAUAGGGAGAUUGAUUCCCGUAUAAGGCAGCUCUUGCGUCAUCUCUUUCAUGAAUCAUGUUAUCAAUAAUACACCUUAUUGAAGAUGCCAAAAAUUCGAAUGUAGCAUUUUUUUUUUCCUGAAAAUUUGAAAAUAUUUGAAUUUAAUUAAUUUGAAACUCUGGUUAAAUCUAAAUAUAUAAACCUAAAUGAUAUUUCAUUUUUCUUUGUUAAAGUCUAAUCAUACUUAUUUUUAUUGGUAAAAACAUCCUAAAAACUAGUUUUUGACAUAUAUGUCUUUAAAUUAUUAUACACUUUUGUGUUUGUUGUAUUUACAUGUACGAAUAUUUAUAAUUAGAUAUUUGACAGGUACAAACAAAAAAUUAUAUUAAUAUGCUGUGUUAACUUUCAAAAGCCCAUAGUCCUUUUUGGACCAUAAAUAGAUAGAUCCACCCUUGUGUACAGGGCUGAUUUUUCCACAGAGCAGGCGUUUUGACACUAUUCUAAAUUCUUUAUAAAAUCUCUCUUUAAUUAAAUUACCUAAAUAACUAAGAAUAAAUUAAUUUCCUUUUUGUUUUGAAUGAAAAAUUAAUUAAACACUGAAAUAAACUAUUCUUUUAAUUUUUUACGCCCACCCAAUUUCAUAAUUUAUGCUUAUAUUUUAAAAUGCAAUUGAACAUAAUUUUUCUUAAGAAACUUUUAACAAUUAUGAAGAUAGAAAUCAUAUAACAAGAAAAAAAUAUUGUAAGAUUUUAAUAUUUGUAUGCAUUUAUAAUUAAAACAUAAAAGAAAUACUAUUUUUGGGUCAAAUUUAAUGACAAGAUGAUUGAUUUUAAUUUAUCAGUAUUUUAUAGUUAAAUUGGGGUAUCUUAAGCAAUAGGGUACAAAAGGGGUGCUGUAAGAGCUUUUUGCUUUAAGGAUUUUUUUAAAGUAUCUUAAAAGCUCCACUCUUUUUGAUAUAUCUAGAUUAGUGGUGAAUACUCUCUAGAUUAGUGGUGAAUACUUUAUAACAUGGUUUUUUUUUUUUUACUUUUAUAAUAAUACUUGACAUUUAAUAUUUAAAUCCUAAUUUGAAUCUUAACUAUAUGUCACUUAUCUAUUAAAUAAUGAAUAUAAUAUUACUUAUUACUCUAAUCGAUCAUCUAAUAAAUUAAUGUCACAUUUAAUGAGACUUAAAAUUUAGGAUCUAUAGCAUAAGUCACUAGAGUAGGAAAAAAAUUUGAGUUCCUUUACUAGACGAGUAUUUUGAUUAGGAAAAACUCUAUAAUGUUGUAAUUAAAAUGACGGUAUCAAUACCGUGAUAAAUACGAAUUUUUUAAAUCACGCAUAAGGCUAGUAAAUGAAAAGUAAAAUAAAUAAAUCAAUAUAAAGUGGUAAAUUGGCAUCUUAAAACUGCAAACUAAACAAAUACUUAUAAAAAUAACAUAAAACUUGUAAAUCAACAUUAAACUUUAAUUAAAAAAUAGUUUAUUCUCAUUCAAAAAAUAGUUUAUUCAUUUAAUUUAAAUAAAUGAUGAAAAAAUCACUCAUCAAUUGAAAAAAAAAAUUAAAAACAAUUGUAAUAAGUUUUAUUGAAUUGGUUUAACUAUAUAUUCUAUAUUCAUCCUAGGACAUUUACCACAAAAAAAAAAAAUUCUUUCUAUAGAUUUUGUUAGCCUAUAUGGCUAUAGAUAUUGAUUUUGAUGAUAACAAACCACAUAUAUUGAUUAAACAAAGAUUUAUGAAUUGUGCUUUUAUAAUAAGAAAAUGAUGUUAUGGAAUUAAAGUGUUUUGGACUAAAAUGAAAGUAUUUUAAAACCUUUGAUAUUGUUUUAAAAUUUCAGAUUUGGACAUAUUUGAAACUAUUUAAAUAUUUUGGGUCAUUUUAUAAUUUCACAUAGUUUGGGUGAAAUCAUAAUUUCAGAAAGUUUUGAGAUUGACAAAGUAUUAUUUAGAAACUCUGAAAUUGGACCUAUUUGAAAGCUUUCAUAACGUUUUGGGCCAUAAUAUAGUUUUAUAAAGUUUUGGGGUCAAACUAUAAAUUUAGAAAAUAUUUCACGGUAGCAGUUACUGUAGCAAGCGUCUAACCGGAUAUGGUAAACGGCAAUCCGAAUUUUAGGCAGUAAGCUUCUGGAGCAUAAACGACUAUCCGGAUUUCAAAAGCGGCUAUCCGGAUUUCAAAAGCGGCUAACUGGAUAUGAAAAGCGGCAUGCCGGAUAUUCUGAAAUUCAAAUUUUUGCUUUAACGGUAACAUGAAAGCGGCUAACCGGAUUCCAUAAACGGUAAGCCGGUUAUGACCAAAAAGUGCAUAACGACUAGUUUUUGAGCUCAAACUAUAUAAACUCAAAACCAAUUCAUUUUUGGUAAUCUUGGCAAGCAAAAAAAAGUGCACACAACAUAUAUUGAGUUUCAAUUUCGUAAAUCAUCAUUUAUUAAAUCAUCUUUGUUCUUCAAUUUGUAUAUCCACUCUUAAAAGAGAGUUUCAUUGUUGUAAUUUUCAUUUCUCAUCAAAUUGUGAGUGUACAAGUGUGAGAAACACUUGGGGUGAAGAGAUUGGAGAGAUAAUCUCUUGUUGUAAAGGUUCAUUGACACCUUGAAGUCAAUUGUAAAUGUUUGAAGCCUUGGAAAGGCUCGGAUAGUGAAAUCCUCAAGUCCGGUGUGCUUGGAGGCGUGGACGUAGGCGGGAAUUGCCGAACCACAUAAAAAUCCUUGAGUUUGCUUUCUCUUCCCUUGCUAAUUUUUUAUUGUGCUUUCAUUGAAUUUAUUAUUUUCGAAUUUAUUAAGGCAUUAGAUUGGAUUGUUGUGUGGUUUGCUUAGCUUAAUUUUUAAAAUCUCAAUUCACCCCCCCUCUUGGGUUGCCUAGUUAGUAUUUCAUUUGGUAUCAGAGCGAGGUGCUCUUGUGUAGACUUAACCAUCUAGAGUUAAAGAUCAAUGGCAACCCAAUAUGACUCAACAUUUAGGGAAUGACAGUCCACAAUUAGACCACCGUUCUUUGACAGAAAUGACUACUCGUAUUGGAAAACUAGGAUGAGAAUUUAUUUACAAGCACUAGAUUAUGAAAUUUGGGAAGUUGUUUGUGAUGGUCCUUUUAUGCCUUGGAUUAAAAAUGAAGUCGGGGAAGAUAUUUCAAAACCUUCACGGGAAUGGAAUGAAUUGGAAAAGAGAAAAGCUACUCUAAAUUCCAAAGUUAUGAAUGCCUUGUUUUGUGCACUAGAUAAGAAAGAAUUUCAUAGAGUAUCUAGUUGUGAGAGUGCUAAUGAAAUUUGGCACAAACUUGAAGUUGUUUAUGAAGGCACGAAUCAAGUGAAAGAGUCUAAAAUUUGUAGGUACACUCGGCAAUAUGAAUUGUUCCAAAUGGAACAAAAUGAGAGUGUGUAUUCUAUGUAUACUAGAUUUACGGACAUAGUGAACACUCUAGGAGCCCUAGGAAAGACUUUUUCAAAUAGCGAGAAAGUUAAGAAAAUUAUUAGGUCGCUACCUAAGGAAUGGAGACAAAAAAGGACUGUAAUUGAGGAAGUCAAAGAUUUAAAUAUCUUACCUAUUGAUGAUUUAGUUGGUUCUCUUAUUUCUUAUGAGGAAGACUUGGCAGCCGAAAAAGGCAAUGGGGAGAAGAAUAAAAGCAUUGCUCUCAAAGCCUCAAAAUAUAAGAGUGAUGAGGAAAGCGAGCUGGAUGAGGAGGAGAUGGAUAUGCUGGCUAGGAAGUUCAUAAAUUUUUUAAGAAAUCCAGUGAGCGAAGAAAAUUUAGAGACCUCAAGAACCGAAAGGAGAAGAAGGAAGUAAUCAAAUGUUAUGAGUGCAAGAAACCUGGCCAUAUAAGAUCAGAAUGCCCUCUUCUCAACAAGCUCAAAAAGAAAGCAAUGGUAGCCACAUGGGAUGAUAGCGAGGAGGAAACAAGUGAUGAUGAAGAGCAUCAAGAAAUGACAAAUCGAUCUCUUAUGGCAAUUGGAGAUGAAUCGGAUGAUGAACUUGAUGAGGUAAAUGAUCUUCCUACUUAUGAUGAAUUACAUGAUACUUUUAAAGAAUUGCAUGAUGAGUGGAUGAAAAUUGAUAAAAAGAAUACAUGUCUUAAAAAGAAAAUGGUAGAGCUCAAAAAUGAAAAUCAAUCUCUAUGUGCAAAGAUUACAUGCCUAGAAUUAGAGAAUAAAAUAUUGCAUGAUAGAGUUGUAUUAUCAAAUGAGAAACCUAGCACUUCACAUGAGCAUAUAGAAUAUCACAUAGAUGACUUGAAAAAAGAAAAUGAAAUGCUUAAGAAGAAGAGCAAUGAGUUAAAUGAGAUUGUUUUAAAAUUUACAAAUGGACAAAAGAUGUUGGAUAACUUGAUUAAUUCACAAAAAUGUGUGUUUGAUAAAGGAGGACUUGUUUAUAAGUCAAAUUUGAAACAAAAGUAUUAUAAGAACUACUUUGUGAAGAGUACAUCUAUUAACAAUCAAGUUGUAUGUCAUUAUUGUAAUCAAAACGGUCACAUAAAGUUUGGUUGUCCUAUCAAAAGAAAAGUAUAUUAUGGAGUAAAAUGUGUUUGGGUUCCAAAAGGAACCAUUGCUAACACUCAAGGACCCAAUAAUAUUUGGGUACCAAAGGACACAACGUGAAUGUUUUCUUUGUAGGUACCACAAUCAAGGAAUUGGGGAGAAAUUCCUUGAUGAAAGCUUGUGAGGAUAAUCACUUGAGUAUGAUCUAAGAGAAAAAGAUGAGGCAUGAUGAUUUAAUUGUUUUGGUAACAAUUCUUGCCAUAUUAAUUUUGUUGAAUGAAUCAUGAUAAAUGAAUUUGCGAAAGUAUGCUUGUAUGUUUACAUGAUGGAAUUAUCAUUGUGUAUAACAUUGAGUGAUUUAUCAUGAUGUCUUUAUUUGAUUUUGAUGAUUGUAUGGUCUUUGAUUUCAUCUUCUUAAUUGUCUAUCAUCAUUGUCCAUCUCUUAUAUAUGUGUGAACUCAUAUGCCAUUAAUUGUGUUAUAUCAUCAUUCAUUUAUAAAAUUGACAUCAUUGUUUGAUACGAUUUCAUAUGUUUGGUCUUGUAUACAUUUAUGUCUCAUGCAUGAAAUGGCUUAUUGAAAAAUUUUGAAUCUCAAAAUGAUUCAAAAAUUGAUCAAUUUUUAAGCUGAAAAUAAAUUGGUGUGUGUAAUACAAGUCUAAGAAUUUACUAAACUUAAAAAAUAUUCUCCAUAUUUUAACCGAUAAACCUCUUCUAAUCAAUCGAAAAACCAUUCUUCUUAUUGAUUAUUCUCUAAGUCAUAUUCCAGAUAACCGGAUUGGAAAACCAGUAAACCAUUUAAAGAGAAUUUGGUUUCUGGAAAGAACCGGUCAGCCGGUUAUGAAAUCCGGAAAACCGGAUCUAGUUUGAUGCUUGCUGGACACAACCGGAUAGCCGGUUAUGAGAUCCGACAAACCGGAUUUGCGUUGUUUACUUGCUGCCUCCAACCGGAUAACCGGAUUCGUGACCAUUCAUCACUGGACUUAACCGGAUUACCGGUUAUGUAAACCGGAAACCUGAAUUCACGUUGCACACUCACUGGACCACAACCGGCUAACCGGUUAGUGAAAUCCGGUAAGCCGGAUUCGGGCAUUCAUAUUUUGUUCAUCCUCUUCUCCUUCAUUCAAUCAAUUGGUUACUCUCUCACUAAAAACCACUUCCUCUCUCACGCAAUAUCUCUCUAAAAUCCAUCAAUCUCAUCCUUUUUCACUUCAAAUCCUUUAUACUUGUAUUUGAACACACCAACAUUUACUAUUUUAUUUUUCUUUUAUUUUGCAUUUGGAUUAUAUGGAUGUUUGCUAUGAUUUUGGAUUAUAUGUCUGUUUUGAAUAUGGAUUUGAUAUAGUUAUAUGUUAUGUUCUUUACUUAUGUUUUGGAUAAUUUUGAACUAAUGUGCUUGAUUUGAGGUUUUGAUGAUUGAUAGAGGGAGACAAAUAUGAUAUGUUUUUUGAUAAAAUCAUUUGGUUAAAAUUUUAAAUUGGUCAUAUAUUUAAGGGGAGCAUAUAAUAUGAUUUUGAAUAAUAUGCAUUUUGAACUUUUUUAUUGUCCAAAGGGGGAGACAAAGUAAUAUAUCAUUUCGAUGUUGUUAAAAAGAGGAGAAUAAUAUACACUUUAAGUAUUCUUUUAAUGAUUGAUAUUUGAUUAUGAUGAUGAUUUUGAGAUAAUGAUGAUUUGAUUACAUAGUUGUUUUAUAUGAUAAUUUUAUGUUAUGAGUUGUUGAUUUGGUAAUUAAUGGAAUAAUGGUUCAUGAUAUUUUGGUGUGAUGAUUUGUGUAUGGAGUUGGCUUGUAUCAUGAUUUAUAAUAAUUUGUGAGUAAUAUUACUAAACUUAUAUUUGAGGUAAUGCUUGUUGUUAGGGGGAGAAUGUGUUGAAAUUUCUACUCGGACAAACAUGAGUAAUAAAUUUGUUACUCUUAUUCUUUUCCUUUAAGCUUUCUUUUUUAUGAUGAAGGAGGAGAAUAAUAUAAAAAGUGUUAUAAAAAUAUGCAUGUAUCCAGGGGGAGUAUGCAUGUAUGCAGGGGGAGUCUUUUUAAAUAAUUUUUAAAUCAAAUUUUUAACCUUGCAUUGAUUAAGGGGGAGCUUUUCAUAACUAGAUUAAAUUUUUAUAAUGUGCUUUGUCAUCAUAAAAAAUGAGGAGAUUGUUAGCCUAUAUGGCUAUAGAUACUGAUUUUGAUGAUAACAAAUCACAUGUGUUGAUUAAACAAAGAUUUAUGAAUUGUGCUUUUAUAAUAAGAAAAAUGAUGUUAUGGAAUUAAAGUGUUUUGUACUAAAAUGAAAGUAUUUUAAAACCUUUGAUAUUGUUUUAAAAUUUUGGAUUUGGACCUAUUUGAAACUAUUUAAAUAUUUUAGGUCAUUCUAUAAUUUCACAUAGUUUGGGUGAAAUCAUAAUUUCAGAAAGUUUUGGGAUUGACAAAGUAUUAUUUAGAAACUCUGAAAUUGGACCUAUUUGAAAGUGUUCAUAACGUUUUGGGCCAUAAUAUAGUUUUAUAAAGUUUUAGGGUCAAACUGUACAUUUAAAAAAUAUUUCCACUCUUAAAGAGAGUUUCAUUGUUGUAGUUUUCAUUUCUCAUCAAAUUGUGAGUGUACAAGUGUGAGAAACACUUGGGGUGAAGAGAUUGGAGAGAUUAUCUCUUGUUGUAAAGGUUCAUUGACACCUUGAAGUCAAUUGUAAACGUUUGAAGCCUUGGAAAGGCUCGGAUAGUGAAAUCCUCAAGCCCGGUGUGCUUGGAGGCGUCGACGUAAGCGAGAAUUGCCGAACCACGUACAAAUCCUUGAGUUUGCUUUCUCUUCCCUUGCUCAUUUAUUAUUGUACUUUCAUUGAAUUUAUUGUUUUUAAAUUUAUUAAGACAUUAGAUUGAAUUGUUGUGUGAUUUGCUUAGCUUAAUUUUUAAAAUCUCAAUUCACCCCCUCUUGGGUUGCCUAGUUAGUAUGUCAGAUUUGAUACUACACAUGUUAAUUAAGCAAUUUUUUUUUUGACGUGAAUCAAGUAAAAACAAAAUAGAAAGAUAUUCUUAUAUUACUAGAUGUACAUGAUAUAUCAAUAAAAUUGGAUCUAAUUUUAGUUUUAUAUAUACUUCAUGUAAUUUUAAACUAUGCUUCUUAUUGUACUUAAAUAUCAUUUAGGAUUACUGUCAAGGAGGCUUAAAAGAAUACAAAAUCACCUUAUUUUACAAACAGUGGGGUUUGAAAGUCUAACUUUGAGGAUAGGUUUAUUAUUAAUAAAAUUUCAUACAUAUCAUCACAUAUAUUACACAAACUCAAAACUAUAAUUAUUUAAUUUAGAAUCAAAAUUAGUAAAUAUAUAAGCUAAUCGUCACAUUAUGAGUUUUUAUUUUAUAUUUGUAAGUUUUUUUUUAAAUAACUCUUACAUUAAGUUACUUGUUUUACAUUCUAUUUACAAGUAUUAUAUUCUAUUUAUAUCAUUUAUAUUUUAUUUUAUGCUUAAUGUUGAUUUACCACAUCUAUGUUACAUGUAUAAAUUUUUAUUUUGUUUAUCAAUAAUAUACUGAUUUACCAUUUUUAUGUUAAUUUAUUUGUUUUACCUUCCAUUUACAAGUUUUAUGUCUCAUUUACUUUUUUUAUGUUGUAUUUACACUUUAAUGUUAAUUUACAAGUUUUAUAUUAUAUGUAUAAGUUUUUGUUUUAUUUACUAAUGAUACACCAGUUUACUACUCCUAUAUUAGUUUACUUAUUUUACCUUCUAUUUACAAAUCUUGUAUUCUAUUAAUAUAAUUUACAUUUUAUUUUACACUUAAUGUUGAUUUAUAAGUUUUAUGAUACAUCUAUAAGUUUUUAUUUUGUUUACUAAUAAAACAUUAAUUUACCACUCCUAUGUUGAUUUACUUGUUUUAUCUUCCGUUUACAUGCUUAAUGCUUCACUUAUAUAAUUUAUGUUUUAUUUUAUACUUUAUGUUAAUUAACAAGUUUUAUAUUACAUUGUAAGUUUUUAUUUUAUUUACUAUUGAUACAUCAAUUUAUUACUCUUAUAUUAAUUUACAUGUUUUACCUUUCGUUUAGAAGUUCUAUAUUCCAUUUACAUAAUUUAUAUUUUCAUUUACACUUUAUGUUGAUUUACAAGCAUUAUGCUAUAUUUGUAAGUUGUUGUUUUGAUUAACUAAUUUACAAAUCAUAUUUUAGUUUUAUUGUUUUAUCUUACAUUAAGUCAUUAACAAGUCUUAUGUUUUAUUUAUAUAAUUUAUGUUUGGAUAAAUAUUCAAUUAAUCCCAAUAUUUUGACUUUAAUGCCCAUUUAGUUCCUAUAUUUUAAAAAGUACCUCAAAACACCCAUGUAGUUAAAUAAAUUUUAUUUUUACCCUUGCUUUUGCUUUACUUUUACAAUAAUAGCCUUCCAAAAAAAAUUUAACAUUAAUUAGGUUAUUUAUAAAAAUGUAAUUAUAAAAAUUAACUAAUAAUUAUUUAUUAACAAAUUAAUCAAUAAAUAUCAGUAUGACAGAACUAAUAUUUUUCUUAAACCCAUGCAGUAAUCUUGCAAAUAGUUUAUUUAUAAAUAAAAAUUAAUAUCAACUAACUUAAAGUGAUGUUUAAUAGCCUUACAACAAUUAUAUUAAUAUUUAUUUUAUAAAAAAAUAGUUUAGCAAAUUAAUCUUAAAAGUAAAUUAAUAACAUAAAAUUUUUUAAAAAUAAUUAUUUUAUUUUUCACCAGCUGCAGUUUGUUGAAACUUGGUGAAGACAAAUUGAGAGCUUAGAAAUCUCCAAUGAGAUAAUAAAAUAUAUAUGUUAGGUCUUCGUUCUUUAAAGAGUAGAUCCUAUUGAAAUUUGAAAAGGAAUAUCGAUUACUCACAAAUAAAACAAAUUUGCUGAGGCGGCUCGACUAAGACGUACGGGCAGCAUAACUAAGUCCUCAUAACUCUCAAGUACAGGCAUCAAAAAAUCAAAACUGAGCAUGAUGUGUGAUAUAUAUAAAUAUAUAUAUAUUCCUCUCAAGGACUAUAUAUAGAUUUAUAUAGUCCUCUUAACUCUCAAGGACAGGCAUGAAAAUAUCAAAACUGAGGAUGAUGGGUGAUAUAUAUAAAUAUAUAUAUAUUCCCUGCCUUGUAAGACAAGGUCCUCAAGCAAUUAAGCAAGAAGCAAAUUAAAAUCAUGGCUUCUAUAGCUGAUCGGGAAGAAGAGGCAAAUAAUUUCUCAUAUGCAAUGGAACUGGCAAGUGCAAUAGUGCUACCUGCAGUUAUGCAAGCAGUGGUAGAGCUUGAUGUGUUUGAGAUCAUAAGCAAAGCCGGUCCUGGUGCUAAGCUUUCGGUUUCGGAAAUUGUGGCUCAAAUUCCCUUAAAAGAUAAUAAUCCUGAAGCUGCAGCCAUGACGUUGGAUCGGGUGCUGAGGCUGCUUGUCAGCUACAAUGCUCUUCAUUGCUCUUUUGUUGAUGGACAAAGGCUCUACUCUCUUGCCCCUG